AUUGAACGCUGGCGGCAUGCCUUACACAUGCAAGUCGAACGGCAGCACGGGUGCUUGCACCUGGUGGCGAGUGGCGAACGGGUGAGUAAUACAUCGGAACAUGUCCUGUAGUGGGGGAUAGCCCGGCGAAAGCCGGAUUAAUACCGCAUACGAUCUACGUAUGAAAGCGGGGGACCUUCUGGCCUCGCGCUAUAGGGUUGGCCGAUGGCUGAUUAGCUAGUUGGUGGGGUAAAGGCCUACCAAGGCGACGAUCAGUAGCUGGUCUGAGAGGACGACCAGCCACACUGGAACUGAGACACGGCCCAGACUCCUACGGGAGGCAGCAGUGGGGAAUUUUGGACAAUGGGCGAAAGCCUGAUCCAGCAAUGCCGCGUGUGUGAAGAAGGCCUUCGGGUUGUAAAGCACUUUUGUCCGGAAAGAAAUCCUUGGCCCUAAUACGGUCGGGGGAUGACGGUACCGGAAGAAUAAGCACCGGCUAACUACGUG
rnacentral:rRNA from 1 species